GUUCCACAGACAUCGAAUUAUCUGUUUUUUGCUUGUUUGUUUUAUCCUCCACUUAUCUCCAGGGCUCCACUCUUUUUCCUUAGCAUGAUUCAGCUUGCUACUGUUUUAUUGGAGCAUCACAAGGUCAGAUUCCCUUGCGGACACAAGAAAGAGCUGCUCGGCCAGAACACACAGCUGUGGGCUGGGUAAGGGAAGGACCUUUGCUUAUGAGAACCACGACGCUGAGGCUAAAGUAUCAGGUCAGAGCAUGUGCUUGGAGCUGGGACUGCCUGAGCUCCCUCACUUUCUUACACGCAGGUGCCUGAAGGAAGAUGGACAGGUGCACAAGAAAGGUCACAGCAGCAUCGAGGGCUCAGACACUGAAGGACGGACCACAGAAACUGAUGGAGGACCAUUUUGGCUGGUGCAGCUUUCAACAUACCAGCAUUUGUGACUAUGCUAGUGUCCAUACCAAGGAUAAGAAUGAAAUACUUUGUUGCGUUAUGUGUUGAGCUUCCAGCCCCCUCAUCUUUGAAACACACGUAGAUAAUCUAAGCUUUCCUUAUAUUUGCUGUGUAGCCAAGGAUUGUCCUAAACUCCUGUUCCUUCUGCUUCUACCCCUCAGACACUGGGAUUAUAGGCACGUGCCAAAAGACAGCUUUCCUUCCUUCCUUCAUCCCUCCUUCUCUCUGUUCCUUCAUUUUCUGGCACAGGGUCCUGAACCCAAGGCUUUGUCCUUGCUGUGCAAGUGCAUCAACACUAAACUAACUUCCCAACCAAUCACACACUUUCAGUGAAGGAAGUCAAGGCAUAAUGUGGUUCAAGAAUAACAGCAGCUGCCCACAUGGCCCGCUGAUGGACGGAUCAGAUUUCCUUUCUUUUUAUUCAACUAGUAACCGGUACCAUUUGUACCGACGAAAUGUCCUUGGGAUUCUUUUGAGUGUUCUUGAAAGCGGUGCCAAGAGGGAAGAAAGGGGGUGUUUUUAUGAUGGUGGAAUGGCUACCAACGUCUAUUUAAAUUUGAAUAGUAAAGGCCCUCCAUCAGUUUGUCAGGGCUGUUAGAAGGAACAGAACAAAGCCCCACAGACUGGUUGGCUGAACAACAGAAAUGUUUGUUUUUCCAGGUCUGGAGCCUAGAAGUCUGAGGUCAAGGUGCUGGCUGAGUUGGUUCCUUUUGAAGCCUCUCUCCUUGGCUUGUAGACAACCUCUGCCUGCUCAGGGUGUCCUCACACGGCCUUUGCUUGGGUGAAGAUUUCCACUGAUUAUAAAGGAAAGUAUUAUUGGAUGGGCACCUACCCUAAGGCCAGUGCUUUAACAGAAUUAACCUUUUAAAGACCCUGUCUCCAAAUACAGCCACAUUCUGAGCCACUAAGGAGUUAGGAUUUCAGCAUAUGAGUUUGAGGAUUCACAAUACAGCUCAUAACAUGGACCUUAUUCACUUACUAUUUUUGGGGAAAAGUUAACAUUUUAAUUCACCUAAGUCUGCUUUUCAUAAUCAGAUGAAAUCAGAUCUUUUUUUUUUUUUUCCACUUUUCUUUUUGGGAGACAAAUCAUUUUGUGAUGAUUUUGUUCAAGGUCAGCUCACAUCUUAAACUGGUUGCUAAACUCCUCAUCUUCUUCUGCAUUUUGUAACAGAUAUUAUGGGCCCACAGGGCCUUUCUUGAAAUCAUCAAAAAAAUAAACAUAUUUCAAAAUUCAGAACCUUUGAGUUUUUAGAGAAAUGGUAAACAUCUUGUAUGAUUACCUGUCUUAAUGAGACUGUGGGUAUCUGUGACGUCAGAUAUAAUAAAGCAUAUUGAUUUGUCACAGUAGAGUGCAUAAAAAGAUAAACCAAAUACGGACAAGGCUGUGCUCAGCAAUUUACAUUUGAACACACUCUAUAAGGGAUUCUGGUGCCAAGAAUGAGAGUUGGGGCUGGAUUGAUGAUGGUCAGUGAUUGAGAGCACUUGUCUCUCCUGCAGAGGACCUGGAUUCAGUUCUCAGCACUCAUAUGGCAGUUCACACUGGUUUAAGUCCAGUUCUAAGGGACCCAACAUCCUCUCAGACACGUACGUGGUGUGGUAUGUGUAUACAUCUACAUGGGCAAGCAUUUUCACAUGAAACAUAAAAAUAAAUCUACUUGAAAAAGCACAAGGACCACUCCUUUGGAGAUUAUCUGGUCUGCUUGGCUCAAUCUGCAUCUAAAGCAUUAAGACCAAGAUGACAUGUGUAGUUCAGAUCAUGGACCAGAGAGAACCCAGGUAUUAAACAUGAACGCAGCCAAUACUGAAUCCAGAGUUUUCAAAAAAUUCGCUCUCCUUCCUCUUGUGUCUACCUCUCUCUGGGGGUAACAGCUCAGGGCAAGCCUCUUCUCAACUCCAGUACAAGCUGCCCAAUGUCCCGGGCACCUAGUGCUAACCCACUGUGUACCCCGAGAGCAAGCCACUGUACCCCCUGGGCCUCAGUUUCCCCACUGUUAUACUGAAAACAUGAAAGUUUGCCCUGCCUCCUGAGAUCCCUUUCCGUUGUGACUUUAAAGCUGCUUGCCAAGCUCUGACACACACGCUUCCAUCCCCCCUGGCUAUCAGCGGCCAUCUGGCAAUUAGCAGCCUCUGAGGCAGCUAAUCCCACUCUGAGCUGGAUUAAAAGCUGAAGUUUAAAACAUGGAGAUAGGCAGGUGAUUUCUGUUUGAGUCUUUGGGUCCUGCUGUCCCUGGCAGCAUGGUGAGGGAGGACAGAAAAGCUGAUUUCUUUCCCUUAUCUACCCCGCGAGGCUCAGAAAGCAAGAUCAGCCUUCCAGAGCGGCACGGAUGCUGGGCAAUGUGCUGGGCUGCAGGAGGCGCCAGAGGGCCUUGAUUACAUUCCUAGCAUGCUCCGAAUGAGAAGCCUCGUCUUGGAAAAUGCCAGUGGUGGUGGGGCCGGGGAGGCGCUUGCAAUGGUUGGCUGAGGAGUCAUUUGUUCAGAAAUUGGAAAUGUCAUGUCCAGAGGGACAAACUGAGAUGAGCUUUGUUGAUGAGAUGUUAGAUUUCUGAAGAGGAGACAGAGAAGGCAUGGGGAAAGGAGGUCUCCAUCGCGUCUGCUCCUGGUGGGUUUCAAGGAGCAAGGAGCCUGGCUCAGUUCUCAUUUAUAAGCUGCAGGAUGGCUCUGUUCUUACCACCUGUCCACCUGAAAGAAGAUGAGGGAAAUAUUGAGCCCUUGUUGUAUGUGAGAGGAAACCCCUCAAGGGAUUUCAGACUACCUGGCUUCAUGUAAUAUAGUCUGAUGAUGAAGGGCCAGACACUUCAGCCCUCUAGCUUUACGGUGUUAUUUCCCACCCAGAGGGAUGAUAAGGACGUGUUAGAAUAGAGACACAAUGCUUAAAGAAAACACAUCCGGCAUGAACAAGAAGAGAUGGUGCCAGUCUGGAGAAGAUCAAGAAGCCUAAAAGCAAAUGCAAGGACUGCUCGAGAAGGUGCAAAUAGCCCUGUGUGCAGUAAUGGACGGCGAAAGAGUCAAUGAGAAGGACAAUAACGGCAGUUCAUAAUAGUGAUGGUGAUUCAUUAAGAAAGUGUUUUAGUGCAUUUUGUGGGUUGCGUUCAAGAAGGCAGAACAGAGUGAACAUUUUAGAUGAGGCCUCCAUCCAAAAUGUUUCUUGUUGCUCAAAUUAGAUUUACAAAAAGCUAAGCCUUCAGCAAGCUAAGUACCCUGAUUGUAUGGAAUGACUUAACCUUCUAAGAGUCAUGGGCAGCUAAGAAUUUAAUAUAUAAGAGAAGGCAUUUAAGUUGUAUUUCUUGCCCUCAAUGACUGCAAAUUCUUGUUGGUAAUAUAAGGUUUCAACCUUCCUAGAUGUCUUUGCAUUUUAAUAAAGGGCUUUAAAAGACUAAAAUGCCUUUUAAUCCCAAAGGAGUCAAGUUUUAGUAAUAAAAUUCUAGGCAGCGAAAAUACAGGAGAAAAGUUGGGGAGGCCAAAGGAUUUUUCUGGUUAUCUAUGAGAGGAGCUGUUGGUUUUCUUUCACGUGAAGAUGAGCCUGAAAACCAGAUGGUCUCCAGAGGUGCCUAUGUCCUGUGAGGUGGUCAUGAUCCACCACCUCAGAGGGACCCAAUGGACUUGAAUUGUGCUCAUAAGACACAGACAGGGCAGAGUGAGUCAAACAAGCUCAUGGCCAAGCAGAAGGCUGAGGAGUCCCCCGAGUGGCUGGGACUACUACUCAGUACUAAUCAGAAACAAAAUUAUGGAUCAUUUAAGUGACAAGUGGUCCACAGCUCUCAGAGUCAAGACCUUUGGGGUUCUGAGAAUUCUGGCUGAAUCUCCAGCAGGCCUCUGCUCAUUAAUUCUACCCAUGACAAUGUUUAAAGUGUAAUGAAAACCCAAUGCAAAGGAAUUAGAAGGUUUGAGUCUUUCAGUGGCUUUCCCCCAAGAUGCAUAGCCCUAGGACAGAGGACUCGGGCUCUGGAAGCAGAGAUGGGCAAGCCAGCCUCCACGUCACUGAUGCUCACUUCAUCAGUUUCCUGGCAAGAGAAAGGAAAACAGGAAAACAAGACACCUUCACUUAGAGGAACAAGUCAAAGCCUUGGCCCACCCUUCAGUGGGUUGUCCCACCCUUCAGUGAGAUUACUCAACUCUGCUAAGAGACAGUAUAUCGUCAUGUUCUCACCAGCAGUUUAGUUCAAUGUUUUCCUACAGAGAGGCUUAGCUUGCCUCCCACAAUGCCUCUACCUUAGUGCUAGCUCUCUUUCUGGGAAUUAGAAUCUGGGUCUCUGACAUUCAAGUCAAAAGAACAGCCAUUUAGAUUGGAAAAGCCCUCUGUUGACUUCAGGUCUAUGUUUUUUUGUGUGUGUGUUUCUUUAUCACUCCCUUCUGCUGGAGAAAAAGGCUCAAGAGAGUGCAAGUAGCCGACUCUGCUACUCAGAGACCAAAUAAAGCCCAGAAUCUCCAGCCUUGAGCUGAGGCCAAGAGUGCAUGCUUACUGCGCAUGAUCUCAGAGGUACAGAGGAACCUUUAUUCAAACCAGUAUCCAAUUUCUAUAUUUGAUAUGUGUGAUUACAUCAUUACAGGCUUCUGCCUCUGUGGCUUGGGUGGAUUUGUCUCCUGUGUCAGCUGUCAUGUUACCCCUCAUGGCUGACAGAAGAUGUGUCAAAGGAGGGGGCCCAGGAUCCUGGUCACUUCAGGUACUUCAGAACUUGGCAUAGCACAAUCGGAACAGAAGAUAGCAAGGCCACGGUUUCCUGCUUCAUGCCUUGAGCUCUGCAGCUGGUCCUGUGCAGAGUCUAUCCUUGUAUCCCACCUCUCACAUGACACCCUCAUCACUCACAGUCCACCACUGCCAUCAUCCCCAUCUCCCAGGAGGUCUGGCUGCUGAGUUUGGUUUAUCUUAUGCCACUGGAGCACAAAGUCUUUCUUUAACAUCUAAAAACUGUCAUAUAUUCUACAGUGCUCUGAAAAAGCUAAUGUCGAAUUGUUGUAGUUUCAUCCAAUCCAGGACUUCAGAAGUCUGCUGGUACACAUAGUAUACUGGCUAGUUGGGUGUCAGCUUAACACAGGCUAGGGUCACCAUAGAGGAGGGAGCCUCAACUGAGUAAAUGCCUCCGUAAGAUCUGGCUGUAGGCAAGCCUGUAGGGCAUUUUCUUAAUUAGUGAUUGAUGGGGGAGGGCCUAGCCCAUUGUGGGUGGUCCUGGGAUCUCUAAGAAAACAGACUGAGCAAACCAUGAGGAGUAAGCCUGUAAGCAGCAUCCCUCCAUGGCCUCUGCAUUAACUUCGGCCUCCAGGUUCCUGCCCUGUUUGAGUUCCUGUCCUGACUUCCUUUGAUGAUGGACUGUUACAUGGAACUGUGAGUAAAAGAAACCUUUUCCUCCCAAGUUUGCUUUUGGUCAUAGUGUUUCAUCACAGCAAUAGUAACCCUAACUAAGAGACAAAGUAUGGAAAAGAAGUCAAGAAAUAGAGGGGAGAGGGUCUGAGCUCAAAGGGCAGACUCCAGAAAUCAGUUUCUAAGAAGACAUUGACCAACAUCCCUGGACCUGAAACAACUCUUCUUGGCAUCUUGGGGUGCAUGGGAGCUUGUGGAAUCCUUGGAAUGUUUGAAAAAAAUGUUUAGAUCCCUUGCUUGGCUCCAAGAGGGAGCAGGGAUUACUGUCUCUAGGGAGAUACCAAAUGAGCUCUCAGCCAUGGAACAGGGCACAAGGGCUCAGUACAUACAUGAAUACACACACACACACACACACACACACACACACACACACACACACACACACACGAGGUGGGAAGGCAGAGGCAGAAGCAGAGGGACAAAGAAAGAGAACACACACAUUUGAUUGGAAAGGAGCAGGGACAGCCUGAAGGAAAAUACUGUACCAGCGGUGUGUGAUGACUUGAUAUUUGCAGCUGGUAAAUUUAAAUUUUACAUAAAACAAAGAUUUAGAGGGAGGAAUCCAUGACAAGCAAAACCCUGGUGUCACUGCGUUUCCCAAGGCUGGGGUGCUCAGUGAGCUGGUCUAGCUAGCACUCAGCCGCUUCCUAUGACAUCUGCCAGUCCUCCCAAGGUGUGAACCGGUUUAACCGGCCCCUCUGUGUAACUCAUUUCACAUCAUCUACACUUUCCAAUAAGCUUUUACUCUAUUAGAUUGCUUCCUGGAAGAGCCAAAUAUUAAAAAUCACCGGUCAGUCGGCUCUUUAUUCUGUUAGUCACCAAACUGAUUUUUUAAGCUCAGAACCAAUAAAGCUGUGAUGGUGAA